rnacentral:sRNA from 1 species
GCCGGGCACGGUGGCACACACCUGUAAUCCCAACUGCUCGGAGGCUGAGGCAGAGGAUUGCAACUCAGUGAGACCCUGUCUCUA